CACACUGGGAGGGUCUGUGUGAAGUCUGAACACGUAGGCCUGCUAUAACCUGUUUGUGUCAGUGUGUGUGUGUGCGAUUCAACAGAAACCACGGGUUAACCCUUCAUGACUCUUGCUCCCUACAGACAGCAACACGCUGGACAUCUUGAAGCUGCGUCCCCGCUGCACUGAGAGGUGCGCGCGUCCAAACUAACUGACAGGGGAAAACACACACACACACACACACCCUCGCGGAAUGGCUAAUCACUCGAAAGGCAAAGAAACUUCAACUAAGUACAUAGCUUCUACCUUUCAGACUGACCAUAUCGCCCAAGAGUCCAUGGACAGCUCAGAUGAUGAGUUUUUUGAUGCCCGAGAGAGCCUGUACCAUAAUGGUAAGCCUUGGUGUAUCCCACAGAGUGGCAUAGCAGGCCGAGAGGACAGUAGGACUCAGGUGCUAAUAUUGGUGGUGCAUGGGGGGAACAUUCUGGACCCGGCCAGUGGUGACCUGCAGGCAAAGGCUACAGAUGUGGCCACUCUUUCCUCAGUGCUGGAGAAAGUGGCACAGGCGCACUUUGAAGCUGCCACACACCAGAUACUUAUCAAGCUGGUGCCCUGUCCUGCUGUAUGUACAGAGGCCUUUUCCCUGGUUUCCAAUCUGAACCCCUAUAGCUACGAUAAGAGCUGGGUGUCGAGCAGUGUAGACCACCUUCCACUAGCAGCACUCCCUCUUCUCGCUGUUGCAUCACCACACUAUCAGGACUCUGUGGCAAGGGUCAUCUCCAGAGCCAAUGAGGUCUACCGCGACUUCUUAAAGUCUCCUGAUGGACAAGGCUUCACUGGACAGGUGUGUCUGUUGGGUGACUGUGUGGGUGGCGUGCUAUGUUUUGAUGCACUGUGUUUCAGCAGCAGUCCGCAACAUGACAGCCCAAGUCAUAGAGGGAGACACAACAGUUUGGAGAGCCUAAGGGAUAACCCUGGACUUCUGGGAGUGGACAACAGUGGCCUGAGCUCUAAGAAGCGCCUAAGCAAGAGCAACAAUGACAUUUCUUUUGCCACUGACUCCUCUGACAGUCAGCAUCCAUUUCGCAGCAGACAGGUCCAGGAUGUAACAGACCAAAGAGCAAGAGAAAUCAAUCCAAGGUGGAAUCCAGGCCGUUUUGACUUUGAGGUGUCUGAAUGUUUCCUGCUCGGCUGUCCCCUUGGACUAGUCUUAGCCAUGAGACGCACCGUUCUUCCUUCAGUCAAAGUGGCUCAGCUGCAGCCUGCCUGCUCGCAGAUCUUCAACCUGUUUUACCUCUCCGACCCAUCGGCCUCCAGACUGGAGCCCCUCCUGCAUUCUUGCUUUCAUCAGUUGCCUCCAUUCCCUGUUCCACAAUACCAGCGCUACCCGCUAGGUGAUGGCCGCUCAACCCUCAUUGUUGAUGAGAUCCAUAGUCACCCUGAUGUGUUCCUGGAUGAAGGCCUUGCUCCAGGCGGUGCUGCAUUCACCUCCUGUGAGGAUGAAGCAGAGAAGGCAAUGAAGCAGGAGGUGGAUGAUGACAGCAAGCCCUCCGGCUGCAGGGAGAACAAGCUGAGCCUCACUAUCGCCAACAUCUCCAGUAGCUGGUGGGGGACUAAACGGCUAGACUAUGCACUUUAUUGUCCUGAUAUAUUGACUGCAUUCCCCACUGUGGCUCUGCCACAACUGUUCCAUGGCUCUUACUGGGAAUCUACUGAUGUGGUGGCCUUUCUGCUCAGACAGGUGAUGCAAUGUGACUGUGUGAAGGCUCAGGAGGCAGACAGCUUAGACCCCACCUGCUUUUCCCCUUCCAGUCCCAGAGAGAAAUGGUUACGAAGACGUACACAUGUUAAGUUAAGGAACAUUACUGCAAACCACAGAGUGAAUGAUGUCAUUGCAUCUGAUGUAGGACCGCAGACUCUGGUUGGUCGCUUUAUGUACGGCCCUCUGGAUAUGGUGACUCUGACAGGAGAGAAGGUGGAUGUGUAUUUGAUGACUGAACCACACUCAGGACGUUGGGUGCACUUUGACACCAAAAUCACCAGCAGCAGUGGCAGAGUGUCCUACACGAUCCCAGACAGCAAAAAAUUCCAUGUGGGAGUUUAUCCUAUUAAAAUGGUUGUUAGGGGAGACCAGACGAGUGCAGAAGCUUUCCUGUCUGUGCUGCCUCAAGGAAUGGAGUGUGUAGUAUUUAGCAUUGAUGGGUCUUUUGCUGCUAGCGUCUCCAUCAUGGGCAGUGACCCUAAAAUGCGUGCAGGCGCUGUGGAUGUGGUCAGACACUGGCAGGACCUCGGAUAUCUGAUCAUCUACAUCACUGGGCGUCCAGACAUGCAGAAACAGAGAGUGGUGUCCUGGCUUUCCCAGCACAACUUCCCACAGGGAAUGAUCUUUUUCUCUGAGGGUUUGGUGCAUGACCCACUGCGCCAGAAAACCAUCUUCCUUAGGAAUCUUAUCCAGGAGUGUCACAUUAAUAUCAGUUUGGCCUAUGGCUCCAUGAAGGACAUCUCUGUCUACAGCAUGCUGGGUCUCAGCCCCAACCAGAUAUAUAUAGUGGGCAGACCAUCCAAGAAAUACCAGAACCAAUGCCAGUUUCUCAGUGAGGGUUAUGCCAUGCACCUUUCCUCACUGCAGCUUGGCCACCACGGUCGAUCCCAGAAGACCUCAUCGAUGCGCAUGAUUCUGCGUAAUAGCUCUUUUGGCCUUUCAGCAAAACCAGACUUUCUUCCUAAGCGCACACACCUCAGACGUGCCAUGUCUGCGCAGCAGGCUGAACUACCCAGGACACUGAUUCCUAAAACAGAGCGCUCUCAAAGCCAGCCUGAGUCUGAUAAAGACCACAGGUUUGGAGGAGGAAUAGGCCAUAGCAUGUUUGUGCUGGGGGACAUGCACCCUGGCAACACCACUCCCUGACCACAGAGAGAAAAAAAGGAGAAGGAGGGACAAGAAGAGAGAACGAUGCCCAGUGUGGGCAGAGCCGUGACAACGACAGACAAAGGUUCCUCCCAUCUGGGUCAUGAUCAACCAUUUUCAAGCAUGUUUUAAUGGGUUAUAUCAGUCAUUCCACAGUUCCAAGAGAUUGCAGGUGGCUGCAUGCAGCCUCUCCUUUAUCCCUAAGCUUCCUGAAUUCACGUUGGGUGCAUUGGGUCUAGCUUCACAUCAGUCUCGUUAGAUCUCAGUCAGUGCACAUUGGACAGCUGCAUUUCUGUAUGUGCUACUGGCAGGAGAAUGAGCAAUACAGCUUCAGUCUGUUUUGGCAAUUCGAGCAUUUAGUUAUCAGGUAUGAGUAGGCAAAUUUACAUUUCUGAGUUUUGAGAUAGAUAUUAUUUGGCAGGAAAUAAUUAUUGGAAAUAGAGUCUGAAAGCUGGAUACCUAUUUUUAUUAUUUAGCUUGUCAGUUAUUGGACUCAAAUAUUAAUGAACAUAAAUGUUGGAGAGUUUUGGCUUUACUAGUCACUGAAUUCUGAAUUAUUCUGGCUUGAACUUCUGCUAUCUGCUAUGCAACGGCACCACUGAGAUGUGAAUCAAGUUUAGAGCAACACUACAGUCGGGUGUCAGGUUUGAUGUGCCACUGAUGCAGCCGGUGUGGGUUAUAGUGCUGGUUAAAAUGAAAUCAUAAUUGUAAGUGUGAACAAAUACAUCUGAUAAUUGACAUUUCAUUUCAUUUUCACUCUGACAAAACGAUACAUCUGCACAUCAGCUGUUUCCACAGGAUUUUUACUAAUUCCUGUGCUGUGUUUGCAUCAAGUAAAAAUAUUUUCUAGGCCCAGUAUGUAUGUAACCUUCGUUAUGUGUAAUACACAACAAACAAUUGUGCAAUAAAUGCUCUUUAAGCAAAUCUAGAUCUUUCUUAUGCUUGUUCAGUGUUCCUGGGAAUGUCUGUUUUCCCAGCCUAGCAUAUGAUAUAUGGUGUAGAACCUUCAGCAUAUACCAUAGAGGUUGGUUGUGUCUGAUAUAAUCGCAUUGAAACAGCUAUAUGAUCAAGAUGCUUUACUGCCUAGUAAGAUGUCAAACUCAGGAAUCAUCAGCUUUUUUCACAAAUUACAUCGCCUGUAUGUCAAAUGCAGUUUCACUUUUUUUGUAGCUACAAUUCCCAGCUCAGGUCAUGUGUUGUGUUUUUUUAAAGCAUGAGCUGUACUCAAAGAUGUAUUGACAGCUUCUCAAGAGACAUACUCUUACAAGUGAAGACACUCUUAUCUUUGAUGACUCAGGUUCCUGGUCAACAUUAUUAUUGAACUUCAGUGGUAUGAAAGUGGUUCCAUUAUGUAUAGGCAGAUUACUUACAAUUUGUGUGAAUUAGAUGCUCCAACACCUGUCACCCUUCAAUGUGCUACCCAUAAAUGUCAAUUUCAACCUCUUUUGUAUCGCUAAGAGAAACAGUUCCACCAGCAGAUAAAAAUACUCCAGAAAUAAGUCAUCUACAUUCAAGUCAAGUCAAGAAGCCUUUAUUGUCAUUUCAAGCACAUGUAGCUGACGCAGUACAUAGUGAAAUGAAACAACAUUUCUCAAGAACCCGGGUGCUACAACAACAUAGACAACAUAAAACAUAUAAUUACAGAACAGAAACAACAACACAGAGCUAGGGACAGAAAGUUUGUCCUAGCUACAUAAAGUGCAACGUGUGCAACCAGGUGCAAACAGUGCAAAGACAGAAACAGGAAGUACAAAAACAACACAAGACAGGACACAUAGUGCCGAAAAACAUAGAGAAAGAUUCUGGGGUGUUCCAGAUGAAUUGAAUGUAAACUCAAGUAAAAAGAAAAACAGAAUGUAUUUAUAAUGUCUCUGCAGAUCAGCUGUGCCAACAUUUUGAGUACUUUUUGCACAGUUAUGUUUACCAAAUCUCUUGAUGCUUCUUAAGAAGAUUAUGCACAGCAAGGAGGGAGAACAAAUUAUACUUCCUGCUGUUUUUAAUACUGAAAACAGAUUGAGCUUUCUGAAAUUGCCUCAAUUGGACUGUGAGAAGUUUCUUUUUGCCUCAACAUAUUGUUUGCGUAGUAUAUCCAAUCACAGUAUUUUCUCAUGAACCGUGAAAUGAAAUGUUGCGAGAGAUCCACCAUGGAUCAUGGAGCACUGUUGUUCACAGGUUGAAAACCACUGCUUUAUAUGUUUUGCCUAUUGUUCUGAUUGGCUUGUUUAAAAAAAACAAAAACAAACCUCUUUAAUAUCAGAUGGCCAAAAAAAUGCAGGAAAUCUUCACUUGCAGAGAGCCCUUGGCUGAAGCGAACCCUUUUGUUAAUGUGCCAGCACAUGCUUGAAAGGCUUUAGGUAGCGAUUAGUGCUGAAACUGCCACUGUUGCCCUGGUGCAGGCUAUAAAUUGUCCUGUGGAAUGUUUCUUUCAGGGUUACUAAGGUUUCCUCUUAAUCAUCAGUGUAAAUGUGGAACCUGCUGGAAUGAUAGAUUUAUAGAAACCGGUAUAUUAUAUCCACAUU